UACGUAGGGUGCGAGCGUUAAUCGGAAUUACUGGGCGUAAAGCGUGCGCAGGCGGCGCGUUAAGACAGGUGUGAAAGCCCCGAGCUUAACUUGGGAAUUGCGCUUGUGACUGGCGUGCUGGAGUGUGGCAGAGGGAGGUGGAAUUCCACGUGUAGCAGUGAAAUGCGUAGAGAUGUGGAGGAACACCGAUGGCGAAGGCGGCCUGCUGGGCAGUUUAGCUGACACUGAGGCGCGACAGCGUGGGGAGCAAACAGG
rnacentral:rRNA from 1 species